AUGUUCCGGGAUUCAUCCAAUGGCAUUGAGGAAAACACCACCUCAGUCAUCGGCUUCAUCUAUAAGUGCAUCGAUGACGUCAUCCCCACAGUGACUGUACGUACAUAUCCCAACCAGAAGCCAUGGAAUACAGGCAACAUCCGCAUCAAGCUAAAGGCUAGAGCUGCCGCUUCAAGGAGCGGGAGACUAAUCUGGACGCUUAUGAGAAAUCCCGCUAUGCCUUCAGACGAACCAACCUACUACACCGGCUCUGACGCUCGUCGGAUGUGGCAGGGCUUGAAAACUAUUACAGACUACAAAGGGAAACCCAGACACGAGCUGCCCAGUGACGCGAGCAUACCAGGUGAGCUAAAUGCCUUUUGUGCUCCCUUCGAAGCAAGCAACACUGAAGCAUGCAUGAGAGCACCAGCUGUUCUGGAUGACUGUGUGAUAACGCUCUUGGUAGCCGAUGUGAACAAAACCUUUGAACAGGUCAAGGUUCACAAAGCCGCUGAGCCAGACGGAUUACCAGGACAUGUACACAAAGCAUGCGCGGACCAACUGUCAAGUGUCUUCACUGACAUUUUCAACCUCUCCCUGACUGAGUCUGUAAUACCUACAUCUUUCAAGCAGACCACCAUAGUCCCUGUGCCCAAGGAAGCGAAGAUAGCCUGCCUACCUGAUUACCGCCCCGUGGCACUCACGUCGGUAGCCAUGAAGUGCUUAGAAAAGCUGGUCAUGGCUCACAUCAACAGCAUCCUCCCGGACACCCUAGACCCACUCCAAUUCGCAUACCGCCCCAACAGAUCCACAGAUGACGCAAUCUCAUUCGCACUCCACACUGCCCUUUCUCACCUGUACAAAAGGAACACCUAUGUGAGAAUGCUGUUCAUUGACUACAGCUCAUCAUUCAACACCAUAGUGCCCACGAAGCUCAUCAGUAGGCUAAGGACUCUGGGACUAAACACCUCCCUCUGCAACUGGAUCCUGGACUUCCUGGAGGGCCGCCCCCAGGUGGUAAGAGUAGGCAACAACACAUCUGCCACGCUGAUCCUUAACACGGGGGCCUCUCAGGGGUGUGUACUUAGUCCACUCCUGUACUCCCUGUUCACUGUGUGGCCAAACACGACUCCAACACCAUCAUUAAGUUUGCUGACGACACAACAGCCUGAUCACCAACAACGAUGA
rnacentral:lncRNA from 1 species